GGGUUUCGUAUCCGGAUCGGGUGAAUUCUCAUCCACAAUGGCAACUCACGAAGGCCCAUUCCAUGAUGGCGUUCGAAACCAAGAGGUUGUUCCGAAGAUUGUGCUGAACGAACAUUUACUCCAUCUCCUAAGCCCUCUGAUCUGUCGUUUUCUUCGUUUAUCGCAUCCUCAUGGGGCUCGACUGCCUGCGUGUAGACAACCUUCUCCUCCACUUUUUGAAAUCUCCAUUAUCGGCCGAGAUUCGUGUUGGAUUGGGGUCCGUAAAUGAUAAUGAUCCUAAACAAGAGUGUCAAGUUGCAUGACACCCUCUCUGGAUUUACCUGUAUAAAUAUGAAAAUGAAGUCGCAUCUUAAAGAAGUUGGGCACUUAAGAGCAUUCAUGGAAAUCCGAAUUUUGUGCGCAUUGCCAUAAAUGCGAAAGGUCUUAGAGAGAACAUAAAAUCCUGAGAGGCUGGAUGCAUUCAUAUGUAUGAACACAAUUUGCAUGUAAAAAGUCCUAUUGUUUUGAAACAGGAGGGAUAUUUUUAAUGUUGUAAAUGUCAUUUGAAAAUAACUAUAGAAUUUAUCAGUUUAUUUAGGCAUUUAUUCAAACUUAUGACAAAGUAUGACUUAAGGGAAAAUUUUGGUCCCACAUUCCUUGAUACAAUUACAAGCUUCUCUAUGGUUUUUGAAAAAAGAGUGAGUGGGUCAUAAAAUGCACGCGCACAAACUCACGCACACCUGUGCACGGUCGAGCUUAUGAACCCAUAUAACAUGCACACAUGUGAUUGGUUAUUCAUCUCAAUUUCGGUUAGGCAUUUUGAUCUUAAUUAGGCAGUUCUGUCCUCAGGCAAAUUUGAUGUGAAUUGAAUCUACGUCUUUGAAAAACUAUUGUCAAUACGAUCCAUAUAAUACGUCAUGACAGCAUGGUCAUGAGGGUUAUCACCAUCCAAUACGUCAAUAGGUAUUGGAGGAAGACUAGAACGUGUACUUCCUGUGGGAUCUACUAUCUCUCAAAUAUUGUUAAGGCCGGAAUGGGGUUGGGGUGGUAGCACCACUUAUGCUCCAGCAAAAGUAUAGAUUUCCAUUCUUACCCAACGCACUAAAAAACCGUUAACGAUAUAAAAAAAUGGGUAGGAGCUCGUCAUCCCCAUUGAAUUACCCCAACAAAAAUAAAAAAUCGUUAAGGCGGCCAAUGGGCUAGGCUAACUGUAAGCCUGAGGCUGACCUGAAACUAUGUAAUAGACGCCAGGGCAUGAAAAUCCUGUUUGGUGCCUGGGUAAAGCCAAAGUAUUGUAGAGCCUGUUUUGGCCCAAAUGUUUUUGUGCUAGGUCGGGCUUCAUAUGAAUAUGAAACCUUAUAUACUAAAAAUACUUUAAAAAAGAUUAUAUUUAAGAAUUUUCAGGCCAGGCUAGUGGCGGGUCAAUGCUAGCCUAGGCCUAGUUCCGAAACAAUUCACAUCAUGCUACUUCAUUGUCUUGAAUUUUUCUUCUUUUUCCCUUCCACAUCAAGUGCUUUUUUUUUCUUUAUCUUUGUUAUUACACAAAGCCAAGAAGAAAACGACCCAUCCAAAAAAAAUAUUUUGAAGAAUAUGUGAUACAUUUUUUCAAAUGAAAUUAGGACACUGCACACUUCACUAUUCAUGGAGUAUCUUAGCGAAUCCCAAUGUUGAAAAAUCACAUAUCUUUUGAUGUGUUUUUCCGGCAAAAUCAAGUAGUUAUUUAAUGUCUACGAUUUAUAUUUCGACUCGUCUUUUCAAUCCAUUAGGUCAACUAAUUUUUUUUUGUGGUCCUUGGUCUCUCGAUAAGUUGUUAUCAUGUGAAAUUCGAUAUCUCUUAGAGAUCUUCCCAAUUUGAAAUCUAGGUGGAAGUAAAGGCAUUGGGCAUUAGUUAUUUCAAGAGAUAUCUUCCCAAUUUGAAUUUAUGUGGAAGUAAAUGAAGUGGGCAUUAGUUAUUUCCUGUAGGGAAUUCAAUGGUUUGACUUGUCCAAUUUCUCCCACAAGUAUUUAUCAAGUGAAGACACUAAAAAUAUUUCCUGCUCAUGCAUAAGUAUACUAUUCAUCUACUCUUUUGGGCGGAACUUAUACUUGUAACAUCUUUCGAAUCCCAAAAUUUGGGGAUGCGAUCUCUAGAACCAGCAACCUACUUCAAAGGAAACAGAUAAAAAAUAAAAAAUAAUUCUCACUCUCUAUAUGCCUUAACAAAAAUGGCAUCCCAAGAUUGCAAUAAAACCAUCAUAUUGUAGGAGGGAAUGAUAUAUUAGAUGUUCAAGAACUUAUAAUUCGGCAUUUUAAUCAUCUACUUAUAAUUAGACAAGAUUCCAAAAUUUCAAAAAAAAUAGAAGUCCAAUUGGAAUAAAUGAUAAUUUUUUCAUUCCUAGUUUAACUAGAUAUCUUUUCUACAAAAAUAAGAUCUCCAAGAUACGUGAAAAAUCCUAUUACCGACAACCUCUUGUUUUAUAAGAUAUCAACAUGAUCUCCCUCUGGUAUUGUUCCCACCAAAAUAGAAAAUCAAAUAUACCUCAAAUCACAUCAUGUAGAGGACCCUAAAAUAAUGGGCCAAUUUGGAGGAUACGAAAGCUAUGAAAGGAACCCAUUUUCAAGUAAUAGAGAGAGAUCACAUUCUCAGCCUGCGAAUUAAAGAACCCAAUUUGGUGGCUCCUCUAAUUUUGGGAGCAAACGUUUUAGUGAGAGAGGAGGAAAGCAUUGUAGUGAGAGAGAAGGUGCACCUGGAUCAGGAUGGGCCUCAAGAUCUUUCGAGCAAACGAAUGAGAGAGAAACAUCCUUAUCUGAUGUGGAUUUUAAUGAUGCCUUUGGCCAUCGAAGGCAGCUGAGAAGACCCUCAUUUGGUAAUAGCAGAUCGAGAGACAAAAGAAGAGCAGAAAAGGAGAUGCAGUUCUUAGCUCAAAACCAGGAUCAUGGAUCAAUCAGAAAAUCUCAAACAAAACUUGAAGCUUAAAGCUCAGAUCAAGCAAAGACAACCAUAGAUCUGAGCUCGAACACGAACUGUAGGGAGCACAGAUCUUAAAAAAAAACUCAGAUAGAAGUAAAAUAAAUCAAAUCAGAGUGGCUAAGGGAAAUCUAGCUCACGGAUCAGACCUCCUCUGAUACCAAGUUAAAAUGUGAAAAACUG
rnacentral:lncRNA from 1 species